rnacentral:rRNA from 1 species
GUGAACAAGGCGCCAGAGGCAGAGGGAAGACGUAGAGUGAAAGCGUUAAUCUGAAUUUCUGGGCGUAAAGCGUGCGCAGGCGGGUGUGUAAGGCAGGGUGGAAAGCACCGGGCGCAACCUGGGAAGUGCGCUUGUGACUGCAAGGCUGGAGUGCGGCAGAGGGGGAUGGAAUGCCGCGUGUAGCAGUGAAAUGCGUUGAUAUGCGGAGGAACACCGAUGGCGAAGGCAAUCCCCUGGGCCUGCACUGACGCUCAUGCACGAAAGCGUGGGGAGCAAACAGGAUUAGAUACCCCUGUAGUC